rnacentral:misc_RNA from 1 species
AGAGAGGGAGGAGGAGGACGAAGAGAGAGGCAUGGGAGAGUCAAUAUAUCUCUAUCUCUCCUCAUAUCUUUCAUUCUCUCUCUCUUUCUUUCCUUAUUUUUUCAUGUACUUCUAAAAUUUUGCACUUUUAACAUUUAGGGCUUGAACUUUUUUUUUUUUUUUUUUACAAUUCAAGACAUAUUUCACCCUUUUACAUUUAGGUAACGAAAUGAAUUAUGGCAUAAAAUUUGAUGACGUGGCAUACUGAUAUGGCAUACUGAUGUGUCACCCAUGUAUGAUAUGGCACUGACGUGGCAUGUCACAUUAUUACUAUAUCAUGCAUGGGUGCUAUGUCAUACAUGAGUGCCACAUCAAUGUGUCAUGUCAGCGUCACUUAACACCGUUAGCAAUUUGUCCUUAUGGUGCAAAUGAAGUCAAAGUUUCUGUUUUUAAUUGAAACAAAACAAAGUAUAUGUCUCAAUACUAAAAAGGCCAAAGUACAGA